GGGUUGUGAGGUUAAGCGACUAAGCGUACACGGUGGAUGCCCUGGCAGUCAGAGGCGAUGAAGGACGUGCUAAUCUGCGAUAAGCGUCGGUAAGGUGAUAUGAACCGUUAUAACCGGCGAUUUCCGAAUGGGGAAACCCAGUGUGUUUCGACACACUAUCAUUAACUGAAUCCAUAGGUUAAUGAGGCGAACCGGGGGAACUGAAACAUCUAAGUACCCCGAGGAAAAGAAAUCAACCGAGAUUCCCCCAGUAGCGGCGAGCGAACGGGGAGCAGCCCAGAGCCUGAAUCAGUGUGUGUGUUAGUGGAAGCGUCUGGAAAGGCGCGCGAUACAGGGUGACAGCCCCGUACACAAAAAUGCACAUGCUGUGAGCUCGAUGAGUAGGGCGGGACACGUGGUAUCCUGUCUGAAUAUGGGGGGACCAUCCUCCAAGGCUAAAUACUCCUGACUGACCGAUAGUGAACCAGUACCGUGAGGGAAAGGCGAAAAGAACCCCGGCGAGGGGAGUGAAAAAGAACCUGAAACCGUGUACGUACAAGCAGUGGGAGCACGCUUAGGCGUGUGACUGCGUACCUUUUGUAUAAUGGGUCAGCGACUUAUAUUCUGUAGCAAGGUUAACCGAAUAGGGGAGCCGAAGGGAAACCGAGUCUUAACUGGGCGUUAAGUUGCAGGGUAUAGACCCGAAACCCGGUGAUCUAGCCAUGGGCAGGUUGAAGGUUGGGUAACACUAACUGGAGGACCGAACCGACUAAUGUUGAAAAAUUAGCGGAUGACUUGUGGCUGGGGGUGAAAGGCCAAUCAAACCGGGAGAUAGCUGGUUCUCCCCGAAAGCUAUUUAGGUAGCGCCUCGUGAAUUCAUCUCCGGGGUAGAGCACUGUUUCGGCAAGGGGGUCAUCCCGACUUACCAACCCGAUGCAAACUGCGAAUACCGGAGAAUGUUAUCACGGGAGACACACGGCGGGUGCUAACGUCCGUCGUGAAGAGGGAAACAACCCAGACCGCCAGCUAAGGUCCCAAAGUCAUGGUUAAGUGGGAAACGAUGUGGGAAGGCCCAGACAGCCAGGAUGUUGGCUUAGAAGCAGCCAUCAUUUAAAGAAAGCGUAAUAGCUCACUGGUCGAGUCGGCCUGCGCGGAAGAUGUAACGGGGCUAAACCAUGCACCGAAGCUGCGGCAGCGACGCUUAUGCGUUGUUGGGUAGGGGAGCGUUCUGUAAGCCUGCGAAGGUGUGCUGUGAGGCAUGCUGGAGGUAUCAGAAGUGCGAAUGCUGACAUAAGUAACGAUAAAGCGGGUGAAAAGCCCGCUCGCCGGAAGACCAAGGGUUCCUGUCCAACGUUAAUCGGGGCAGGGUGAGUCGACCCCUAAGGCGAGGCCGAAAGGCGUAGUCGAUGGGAAACAGGUUAAUAUUCCUGUACUUGGUGUUACUGCGAAGGGGGACGGAGAAGGCUAUGUUGGCCGGGCGACGGUUGUCCCGGUUUAAGCGUGUAGGCUGGUUUUCCAGGCAAAUCCGGAAAAUCAAGGCUGAGGCGUGAUGACGAGGCACUACGGUGCUGAAGCAACAAAUGCCCUGCUUCCAGGAAAAGCCUCUAAGCAUCAGGUAACAUCAAAUCGUACCCCAAACCGACACAGGUGGUCAGGUAGAGAAUACCAAGGCGCUUGAGAGAACUCGGGUGAAGGAACUAGGCAAAAUGGUGCCGUAACUUCGGGAGAAGGCACGCUGAUAUGUAGGUGAAGUCCCUCGCGGAUGGAGCUGAAAUCAGUCGAAGAUACCAGCUGGCUGCAACUGUUUAUUAAAAACACAGCACUGUGCAAACACGAAAGUGGACGUAUACGGUGUGACGCCUGCCCGGUGCCGGAAGGUUAAUUGAUGGGGUCAGCGCAAGCGAAGCUCUUGAUCGAAGCCCCGGUAAACGGCGGCCGUAACUAUAACGGUCCUAAGGUAGCGAAAUUCCUUGUCGGGUAAGUUCCGACCUGCACGAAUGGCGUAAUGAUGGCCAGGCUGUCUCCACCCGAGACUCAGUGAAAUUGAACUCGCUGUGAAGAUGCAGUGUACCCGCGGCAAGACGGAAAGACCCCGUGAACCUUUACUAUAGCUUGACACUGAACAUUGAGCCUUGAUGUGUAGGAUAGGUGGGAGGCUUUGAAGUGUGGACGCCAGUCUGCAUGGAGCCGACCUUGAAAUACCACCCUUUAAUGUUUGAUGUUCUAACGUGGACCCGUGAUCCGGGUUGCGGACAGUGUCUGGUGGGUAGUUUGACUGGGGCGGUCUCCUCCUAAAGAGUAACGGAGGAGCACGAAGGUUGGCUAAUCCUGGUCGGACAUCAGGAGGUUAGUGCAAUGGCAUAAGCCAGCUUGACUGCGAGCGUGACGGCGCGAGCAGGUGCGAAAGCAGGUCAUAGUGAUCCGGUGGUUCUGAAUGGAAGGGCCAUCGCUCAACGGAUAAAAGGUACUCCGGGGAUAACAGGCUGAUACCGCCCAAGAGUUCAUAUCGACGGCGGUGUUUGGCACCUCGAUGUCGGCUCAUCACAUCCUGGGGCUGAAGUAGGUCCCAAGGGUAUGGCUGUUCGCCAUUUAAAGUGGUACGCGAGCUGGGUUUAGAACGUCGUGAGACAGUUCGGUCCCUAUCUGCCGUGGGCGCUGGAGAAUUGAGGGGGCUGCUCCUAGUACGAGAGGACCGGAGUGGACGCAUCACUGGUGUUCGGGUUGUCAUGCCAAUGGCACUGCCCGGUAGCUAAAUGCGGAAGAGAUAAGUGCUGAAAGCAUCUAAGCACGAAACUUGCCCCGAGAUGAGUUCUCCCUGACUCCUUGAGAGUCCUGAAGGAACGUUGAAGACGACGACGUUGAUAGGCCGGGUGUGUAAGCGCAGCGAUGCGUUGAGCUAACCGGUACUAAUGAACCGUGAGGCUUAACCUUACAACGCCGAAGGUGUUU
rnacentral:rRNA from 1 species